rnacentral:rRNA from 1 species
GGUUAAGCGACUAAGCGUACACGGUGGAUGCCCUGGCAGUCAGAGGCGAUGAAGGACGUGCUAAUCUGCGAAAAGCGUCGGUAAGGUGAUAUGAACCGUUACAGCCGGCGAUGUCCGAAUGGGGAAACCCAGUGUGAUUCGUCACACUAUCGUUAACUGAAUACAUAGGUUAACGAGGCGAACCGGGGGAACUGAAACAUCUAAGUACCCCGAGGAAAAGAAAUCAACCGAGAUUCCCCCAGUAGCGGCGAGCGAACGGGGAGCAGCCCAGAGUCUGAAUCAGCUUGUGUGUUAGUGGAACGGUCUGGAAAGUCCGACGGUACAGGGUGAUAGUCCCGUACACCAAAAUGCACAGGCUGUGAACUCGAAGAGUAGGGCGGGACACGUGGUAUCCUGUCUGAAUAUGGGGGGACCAUCCUCCAAGGCUAAAUACUCCUGACUGACCGAUAGUGAACCAGUACCGUGAGGGAAAGGCGAAAAGAACCCCGGCGAGGGGAGUGAAAAAGAACCUGAAACCGUGUACGUACAAGCAGUGGGAGCACCUUCGGGUGUGACUGCGUACCUUUUGUAUAAUGGGUCAGCGACUUAUAUUCUGUAGCAAGGUUAACCGUAUAGGGGAGCCGCAGGGAAACCGAGUCUUAACUGGGCGUUAAGUUGCAGGGUAUAGACCCGAAACCCGGUGAUCUAGCCAUGGGCAGGUUGAAGGUUGGGUAACACUAACUGGAGGACCGAACCGACUAAUGUUGAAAAAUUAGCGGAUGACUUGUGGCUGGGGGUGAAAGGCCAAUCAAACCGGGAGAUAGCUGGUUCUCCCCGAAAGCUAUUUAGGUAGCGCCUCGUGAAUUCAUCUUCGGGGGUAGAGCACUGUUUCGGCUAGGGGGUCAUCCCGACUUACCAACCCGAUGCAAACUACGAAUACCGAAGAAUGUUAUCACGGGAGACACACGGCGGGUGCUAACGUCCGUCGUGAAGAGGGAAACAACCCAGACCGCCAGCUAAGGUCCCAAAGUCAUGGUUAAGUGGGAAACGAUGUGGGAAGGCACAGACAGCCAGGAUGUUGGCUUAGAAGCAGCCAUCAUUUAAAGAAAGCGUAAUAGCUCACUGGUCGAGUCGGCCUGCGCGGAAGAUGUAACGGGGCUAAACCAUGCACCGAAGCUGCGGCAGCGACACUAUGUGUUGUUGGGUAGGGGAGCGUUCUGUAAGCCUGCGAAGGUGACCUGUGAGGGUUGCUGGAGGUAUCAGAAGUGCGAAUGCUGACAUAAGUAACGAUAAAGCGGGUGAAAAGCCCGCUCGCCGGAAGACCAAGGGUUCCUGUCCAACGUUAAUCGGGGCAGGGUGAGUCGACCCCUAAGGCGAGGCCGAAAGGCGUAGUCGAUGGGAAACAGGUUAAUAUUCCUGUACUUGGUGUUACUGCGAAGGGGGGACGGAGAAGGCUAUGUUAGCCGGGCGACGGUUGUCCCGGUUUAAGCAUGUAGGCUGAUUGUCCAGGCAAAUCCGGAUAAUCAAGGCUGAGGUGUGAUGACGAGGCACUACGGUGCUGAAGUAACAAAUGCCCUGCUUCCAGGAAAAGCCUCUAAGCAUCAGGUAACAUCAAAUCGUACCCCAAACCGACACAGGUGGUCAGGUAGAGAAUACCAAGGCGCUUGAGAGAACUCGGGUGAAGGAACUAGGCAAAAUGGUGCCGUAACUUCGGGAGAAGGCACGCUGGUGUGUAGGUGAAGCCCCUGCGGGUGGAGCUGAGACCAGUCGAAGAUACCAGCUGGCUGCAACUGUUUAUUAAAAACACAGCACUGUGCAAACACGAAAGUGGACGUAUACGGUGUGACGCCUGCCCGGUGCCGGAAGGUUAAUUGAUGGGGUUAUCCGUAAGGAGAAGCUCUUGAUCGAAGCCCCGGUAAACGGCGGCCGUAACUAUAACGGUCCUAAGGUAGCGAAAUUCCUUGUCGGGUAAGUUCCGACCUGCACGAAUGGCGUAAUGAUGGCCAGGCUGUCUCCACCCGAGACUCAGUGAAAUUGAACUCGCUGUGAAGAUGCAGUGUACCCGCGGCAAGACGGAAAGACCCCGUGAACCUUUACUAUAGCUUGACACUGAACAUUGAGCCUUGAUGUGUAGGAUAGGUGGGAGGCUUUGAAGCGUGGACGCCAGUCUGCGUGGAGCCAACCUUGAAAUACCACCCUUUAAUGUUUGAUGUUCUAACGUUGGCCCCUUACCGGGGUUGCGGACAGUGUCUGGUGGGUAGUUUGACUGGGGCGGUCUCCUCCCAAAGCGUAACGGAGGAGCACGAAGGUUAGCUAAUCCUGGUCGGACAUCAGGAGGUUAGUGCAAUGGCAUAAGCUAGCUUGACUGCGAGCGUGACGGCGCGAGCAGGUGCGAAAGCAGGUCAUAGUGAUCCGGUGGUUCUGAAUGGAAGGGCCAUCGCUCAACGGAUAAAAGGUACUCCGGGGAUAACAGGCUGAUACCGCCCAAGAGUUCAUAUCGACGGCGGUGUUUGGCACCUCGAUGUCGGCUCAUCACAUCCUGGGGCUGAAGUAGGUCCCAAGGGUAUGGCUGUUCGCCAUUUAAAGUGGUACGCGAGCUGGGUUUAGAACGUCGUGAGACAGUUCGGUCCCUAUCUGCCGUGGGCGCUGGAGAAUUGAGGGGGGCUGCUCCUAGUACGAGAGGACCGGAGUGGACGCAUCACUGGUGUUCGGGUUGUCAUGCCAAUGGCACUGCCCGGUAGCUAAAUGCGGAAGAGAUAAGUGCUGAAAGCAUCUAAGCACGAAACUUGCCCCGAGAUGAGUUCUCCCUGAGACUUUAAGUCUCCUGAAGGAACGUUAAAGACGAUGACGUUGAUAGGCCGGGUGUGUAAGCGCAGCGAUGCGUUGAGCUAACCGGUACUAAUGAACCGUGAGGCUUAACCUU